UUGAGCUGAGGAUGAUUUUGAGUUAUCCCUGUCUGAGACUCUUGUGAAGAGUGUGACUUGCUGAGGCUCAA